rnacentral:misc_RNA from 1 species
UACGUAGGUGGCAAGCGUUGUCCGGAAUUAUUGGGCGUAAAGCGCGCGCAGGUGGUUCUUUAAGUCUGAUGUGAAAGCCCCCGGCUCAACCGGGGAGGGUCAUUGGAAGCUGGGGAACUUGAAUGUGGGAGAGGAUCGUGGAAUUCCACGUGUAGCGGUGAAAUGCGUAGAGAUGUGGAGGAACACCAGUGGCGAAGGCGACUUUCUGGUCUGUAACUGACGCUGAGGCGCGAAAGCGUGGGGAGCAAACAGG